AGUGGACGCUGGCGGCGUGCGUAAUACAUGCAAGUCGAACGGAAUUUAAGAGGGCUUGCUCUUUUAAAUUUAGUGGCGCACGGGUGAGUAAUAUAUAGCUAAUCUGCCCCUUGCUGGAGGACAACAGUUAGAAAUGACUGCUAAUACUCCAUACUCCUUUUUACCAUAAGAUAAAUCGGGAAAGAAUUUCGGCAAGGGAUGAGACUAUAUCGUAUCAGCUAGUCGGUGGGGUAACGGCCUACCGAGGCUAUGACGCGUAACUGGUCUGAGAGGAUGAUCAGUCACAUUGGAACUGAGACACGGUCCAAACUCCUACGGGAGGCAGCAGUAGGGAAUAUUGCGCAAUGGGGGAAACCCUGACGCAGCAACGCCGCGCGGAGGAUGACACUUUUUCGGAGCGUGAACUCCUUUUGUUAGGGAAGAAUAAUGACGGUACCUAACGAAUAAGCACCGGCUAACUCCGUGCCAGCAGCCGCGCUAAUACGGAGGGUGCAAGCGUUACUCGGAAUCACUGGGCGUAAAGAACGCGUAGGGGGAUUAUCAAGUCUCUUGUGAAAUCUAACGGCUUAACCGUUAAACUGCUUGGGAAACUGAUAAUCUAGAGUAAGGGAGAGGCAGAUGGAAUCUUGGUGUAGGGGUAAAAUCCGUAGAUAUCAAGAAGAAUACCUAUUGCGAAGCGAUCUGCUGGAACUUAACUGACGCUAAUGCGUGAAAGCGUGGGGAGCAAACAGG
rnacentral:rRNA from 1 species